AGAGUUUGAUCCUGGCUCAGAUUGAACGCUGGCGGCAGGCCUAACACAUGCAAGUCGAGCGGAUGACGGGAGCUUGCUCCUUGAUUCAGCGGCGGACGGGUGAGUAAUGCCUAGGAAUCUGCCUGGUAGUGGGGGACAACGUUUCGAAAGGAACGCUAAUACCGCAUACGUCCUACGGGAGAAAGCAGGGGACCUUCGGGCCUUGCGCUAUCAGAUGAGCCUAGGUCGGAUUAGCUAGUUGGUGGGGUAAUGGCUCACCAAGGCGACGAUCCGUAACUGGUCUGAGAGGAUGAUCAGUCACACUGGAACUGAGACACGGUCCAGACUCUUACGGGAGGCAGCAGUGGGGAAUAUUGGACAAUGGGCGAAAGCCUGAUCCAGCCAUGCCGCGUGUGUGAAGAAGGUCUUCGGAUUGUAAAGCACUUUAAGUUGGGAGGAAGGGCAGU
rnacentral:rRNA from 1 species